UUACGGCCAUAUCACGUUGAAACACCGUUCACGUACAAUCAUCAAAGUUAAACGACGUCGUGUCUGAUCAGUAGCUUGAUGAGUAACCACCUGGGAAUACCAGGUGUUGUAAG